AUGCAUGGCUGUUGUAGAUGUUCUGUCUCAUGGGUAGAGAGAAUAGACAAGCAGCCAUGCUAGAAUAAUAUCUGACGAGUCAACAGGGCCACCAGUCUCUCAAGAACAGGCUGUGUUGGUAGUAUAAAACUCUCACAUUU